AGUUUUGGCUGUUUGAUUUCCUAGUGACUCUGAGUGUUCAGCCUUUUCUGGAACAUUUGCACAGCAGCUCUGCUGAUGGCUCAGCUGUGGAAGCAGCUGUGGUAGGCCAGGCCUUUCUCCACACAGAGCCCGUCCUGCAGCUGCUGCUGCCAGCACCUGGCUGCUCACAACAAAAGGUUUGGGGAGAAAAUGAAGGAGAGCUCAUUACCACGCUGCAGAAACCCUGAUCUGCUGUCCUCACACCAAGAUCAUAUGGAUGCUGAACCAAGAGGAUGACAUGUCCCAUCUUGCAGCUCGAUGUGUCCACUACCAGAAUUUACUCUUCAAUAGCAGAAAAAAAUGCCAAGUAUUUUAUUGAAAACCAAUAUAAUCAUCAGCAAUGUCCUUACUUUAUACAAGGUUAUUCAGAAGGGGUCAAAGACAGAUUAGCUGCAUGGUCAUCUCUACAGGAAUAUGUGUGGAGAUGAGAAGGACAUGAAAAAAAUUCUUCUGUUUUUCUGGAAAAAUGCAAGUAAUUUUUUGAUCCUUGGAGCUGGUUUUGAAUGAAUUCCCAAUUUCAUUUUUAUGGAUUAGAGACUCUUUCAGUUAUCUUAGUGUGACUCCAACCCUACAGAAUUUUUGCACCCAAUGUUUUGGUUUGAAUCUAUACUGAAAAUACCAAUAUGCAUCAGUGCAGGUUCACAGAAAUUGUUCGUCUUACUCUUGAACUGAUAGCAUGCUUUAUUCUGACCUGUACCAAUAGCACUCUUCAAACACAUUUCUGCAUAUAAUCUGGGGGAUUUUCACAGGCCAGCGUCCAUUCCCAAAAUGACUAAUGACAAUGACCAAUGACAUUUGGUCAUGCAGCUAGAAGUAGGGGGAAAGACUUUUAUGAACAGUCCGUGCUAUUUGGCCUCAGGGCUACACAACACUUCCUGGCACUGGAUAAUUUACGGGAAUAGACGUUGCAGAGGGGACCUUCUCCUGAUUACACUGAAAGCUCAUUAAUUAUCAUCAGCAUAAUUAAUGUUGAAAAACAAAGAGCACAACAGAGAUGUUCUUAAAUGGAGAAGGUGAUUUAACAUCUGUCUGGUUCAAAGAAAUACCUGUAAAUUUUGCAAGUGUGAGUAGAGCAACUAAUGUAGAUAAAGCAGCAAGAUCCUUAUUUUGGUCUUUUGAAUUAAUGCUGGGAAAAGAUAAUAAUGUUACCUUGUGUAAAACUGACAAAUAUUAGAUUAGCAUCAGAUUGUGAGUUCUUAUGAUUAUCACUUGUCUACUUACUGAAUAUAAGAUAACUGCAACUAAUUAGGAAUAUAAAAGAAAAGAAAGAUAAGUGUAUACAAACAUUACAAGCAGAGAUUAAAAGUCUAUUUAUAUGCUGUUAUUUUUAGGGCAGGAUUUCUAUACAAAAGCACUGAUAAAGCUAUCUGUUGUAACCAGCAGAUCUGAUCUGCAAUUAUCUUAUUGUAUCUCACUAUAUAUCUAAAAAGAUACAGUAAAUAAAUCAGAAAACAAAAUGCUAUAGCCCUGAAGAUACAAACUGAUAGUGCAGUACACUACAAAAACAUUUUUUUUAUGUUGGAAUUUAUCUUAUAGAUUUGUGUUUUCAGAUUGCUAAUUUAGUAGAGCACUAAGAUUUGAAAGAAGAUGUUAUGUGGAAUUUCUUAAGAAAUUGAUUAAAAUGCUUUAGUAUCUCCACUUAUCUGACAGCAAAUAUUCUUAAUGAAGGGGAUUGUUUAUGUUGAUACAAAUUUAUUCCAUUAAGCAAUGAGUUGUUUGUUUUUCUGUGGUGUUAAUGACAGGCAUAAACUCACAAACACAAUUAAGACAUUUCACCUUAAAACAACAUAGGAACAAACAAAAAUGUUGGAAGGACCUUAGAAGUAGUUUUCUCUUAAUAAGAAAUAUGAAAUAACUCCUGAAUACAUUAAAUAAUUCCUGCAAUAUUUAUCUGUGUAUUAAUAAUCCAGGUCUAAUAUUGAUAUAUGAAGAUGUAACACCAUUGACACUAGUGGAGAAAAUCCUAUUAAAAUUAAAAUAAGGUGAAUAAAAAGGAGCCCAAAGUUACUAAUUAAUCAACACACAGAUAGGUAUAAAUAAAUCUAGAUCCAUGGAAACAUCAAGUAGAUGGAAGUAUACACUGCAUAGAAGUUACACUGAAAAAAUGAUCCAAUGGUUUAGGUUCAGAAUUUAAGUUCUCCAGUAUUGGGUCUGUGAUUUCUUCUGGAAAAUAACAAAGAAGAAUCAAUAGCUGAUUCACACUGACUAAUAACUAGGCCAAGAAGGAGCCAUGGCACUCUGCUCUGAAGAAUAGGAGUAAUAAGGUAGAACCUGAUAUCAGUGAAUGACUAGGAAGAAAAAAAAAUUAGACUGGGUUUAGAAAAAGAGUUAGGUGAAAUAAAAGAUCAGUCAAGUGUAUUGAUAACUGCAAGAGUAUGGAUAACUGCAAUAUUAUAACUGCAAAGAAAUUCAUAAAUUAGCAAAUGAAAUAUU
ensembl:lncRNA